rnacentral:misc_RNA from 1 species
GGUUCGGUUUUUCGGUUUGUACCGAAUUCUGCUCAGCCCUAAUUCAACCACUGGGCUACUAAUCCAAGUGCAUUGCCGCAUUAAAAACAAAGCUGACAAGUCCAAUCUGGCAAAAUGUGCAAAAGAAAAUGGCAAUGUCCUUUAUUGAUUAAGACAAGGUAACUUAUUCUUUCAUAGAUUGGUACAUUACAUUUUGCACCUGGAAAUAAAAUUCCCUUUCAGGAUUUCAGAGCAAGAAAAGUAAACCUGCUAACAAAAGUCAUAAUGAGCACUGAAUUAAAUUCCCUUAAUUUUAAACUAUUUUGUAA